AGCUUGACUCCUUAUGUGUUGCGUUGUGCAACUGACUAGGUAUCAUCUUCUGGGAUGCAGCUUGACCCCUUAUGUGUUGCGUUGUGCAACUGACUAGGUAUCAUCUUCUGGGAUGCAGCUUGACCCCUUAUGUGUUGCGUUGUGCAACUGACUAGGUAUCACCUUCUGGGAUGCAGCUUGACUCCUUAUGUGUUGCGUUGUGCAACUGACUAGGUAUCACCUUCUGGGAUGCAGCUUGACUCCUUAUGUGUUGCGUUGUGCAACUGACUAGGUAUCACCUUCUGGGAUGCAGCUUGACUCCUUAUGUGUUGCGUUGUGCAAAACCAGAGUUGAUGAGGAAAGAGGACAAAAAAAGGAGGGAAAGAGAAUUCCUGGAAACACUUUAGCAUAGAGUUCUGGAAAGCAGCACAUUACCUCAACUCAAUGUACAUGUGCCAAUAACACUCUACAUGCUCUAAUAUCCUCGAUGAGAAUAUAAUGGCACACAUUUCGCUUAUACUACUCAUAAAUAAUAAAACUAUUGUUGAAGUCA